rnacentral:rRNA from 1 species
AUUGAACGCUGGCGGCAGGCCUAACACAUGCAAGUCGAACGGUAACAGGAAGACGCUUGCUUCUUUGCUGACGAGUGGCGGACGGGUGAGUAAUGUCUGGGAAACUGCCUGAUGGAGGAGGAUAACUACUGGAAACGGUAGCUAAUACCGCAUAACGUCGCAAGACCAAAGAGGGGGACCUUCGGGCCUCUUGCCAUCGGAUGUGCCCAGAUGGGAUUAGCUAGUAGGUGGGGUAACGGCUCACCUAGGCGACGAUCCCUAGCUGGUCUGAGAGGAUGACCAGCCACACGGGAGCUGAGACACGGUCCAGACCCCUACGGGAGGCAGCAGUGGGGAAUAUGGCAAAAUGGGCGCAAGCCUGAGGCAGCCAUGCCGCGUGUAUGAAGAAGGCCUUCGGGUUGUAAAGUACUUUCAGCGGGGAGGAAGGGAGUAAAGUUAAGACCUGUGCUCAUGGACGUUACCCGCAGAAGAAGCACCGGCGAACUCCGU